GGUUAAGCGACUAAGCGUACACGGUGGAUGCCCUGGCAGUCAGAGGCGAUGAAGGACGUGCUAAUCUGCGAUAAGCGUCGGUAAGGUGAUAUGAACCGUUAUAACCGGCGAUUUCCGAAUGGGGAAACCCAGUGUGUUUCGACACACUAUCAUUAACUGAAUCCAUAGGUUAAUGAGGCGAACCGGGGAACUGAAACAUCUAAGUACCCCGAGGAAAAGAAAUCAACCGAGAUUCCCCCAGUAGCGGCGAGCGAACGGGGAGGAGCCCAGAGCCUGAAUCAGUGUGUGUGUUAGUGGAAGCGUCUGGAAAGGCGCGCGAUACAGGGUGACAGCCCCGUACACAAAAAUGCACAUGCUGUGAGCUCGAUGAGUAGGGCGGGACACGUGGUAUCCUGUCUGAAUAUGGGGGGACCAUCCUCCAAGGCUAAAUACUCCUGACUGACCGAUAGUGAACCAGUACCGUGAGGGAAAGGCGAAAAGAACCCCGGCGAGGGGAGUGAAAAAGAACCUGAAACCGUGUACGUACAAGCAGUGGGAGCACAGAGCAAUCUGUGUGACUGCGUACCUUUUGUAUAAUGGGUCAGCGACUUAUAUUCUGUAGCAAGGUUAACCGAAUAGGGGAGCCGAAGGGAAACCGAGUCUUAACUGGGCGUUAAGUUGCAGGGUAUAGACCCGAAACCCGGUGAUCUAGCCAUGGGCAGGUUGAAGGUUGGGUAACACUAACUGGAGGACCGAACCGACUAAUGUUGAAAAAUUAGCGGAUGACUUGUGGCUGGGGGUGAAAGGCCAAUCAAACCGGGAGAUAGCUGGUUCUCCCCGAAAGCUAUUUAGGUAGCGCCUCGUGAAUUCAUCUCCGGGGGUAGAGCACUGUUUCGGCAAGGGGGUCAUCCCGACUUACCAACCCGAUGCAAACUGCGAAUACCGGAGAAUGUUAUCACGGGAGACACACGGCGGGUGCUAACGUCCGUCGUGAAGAGGGAAACAACCCAGACCGCCAGCUAAGGUCCCAAAGUCAUGGUUAAGUGGGAAACGAUGUGGGAAGGCCCAGACAGCCAGGAUGUUGGCUUAGAAGCAGCCAUCAUUUAAAGAAAGCGUAAUAGCUCACUGGUCGAGUCGGCCUGCGCGGAAGAUGUAACGGGGCUAAACCAUGCACCGAAGCUGCGGCAGCGACACUGUGUGUUGUUGGGUAGGGGAGCGUUCUGUAAGCCUGUGAAGGUGUGCUGUGAGGCAUGCUGGAGGUAUCAGAAGUGCGAAUGCUGACAUAAGUAACGAUAAAGCGGGUGAAAAGCCCGCUCGCCGGAAGACCAAGGGUUCCUGUCCAACGUUAAUCGGGGCAGGGUGAGUCGACCCCUAAGGCGAGGCCGAAAGGCGUAGUCGAUGGGAAACAGGUUAAUAUUCCUGUACUUGGUGUUACUGCGAAGGGGGGACGGAGAAGGCUAUGUUGGCCGGGCGACGGUUGUCCCGGUUUAAGCGUGUAGGCUGGUUUUCCGAGCAAAUCCGGAAAAUCAAGGCUGAGGCGUGAUGACGAGGCACUACGGUGCUGAAGCAACAAAUGCCCUGCUUCCAGGAAAAGCCUCUAAGCAUCAGGUAACAUCAAAUCGUACCCCAAACCGACACAGGUGGUCAGGUAGAGAAUACCAAGGCGCUUGAGAGAACUCGGGUGAAGGAACUAGGCAAAAUGGUGCCGUAACUUCGGGAGAAGGCACGCUGAUAUGUAGGUGAAGUCCCUCGCGGAUGGAGCUGAAAUCAGUCGAAGAUACCAGCUGGCUGCAACUGUUUAUUAAAAACACAGCACUGUGCAAACACGAAAGUGGACGUAUACGGUGUGACGCCUGCCCGGUGCCGGAAGGUUAAUUGAUGGGGUCAGCGCAAGCGAAGCUCUUGAUCGAAGCCCCGGUAAACGGCGGCCGUAACUAUAACGGUCCUAAGGUAGCGAAAUUCCUUGUCGGGUAAGUUCCGACCUGCACGAAUGGCGUAAUGAUGGCCAGGCUGUCUCCACCCGAGACUCAGUGAAAUUGAACUCGCUGUGAAGAUGCAGUGUACCCGCGGCAAGACGGAAAGACCCCGUGAACCUUUACUAUAGCUUGACACUGAACAUUGAGCCUUGAUGUGUAGGAUAGGUGGGAGGCUUUGAAGUGUGGACGCCAGUCUGCAUGGAGCCGACCUUGAAAUACCACCCUUUAAUGUUUGAUGUUCUAACGUGGACCCGUGAUCCGGGUUGCGGACAGUGUCUGGUGGGUAGUUUGACUGGGGCGGUCUCCUCCUAAAGAGUAACGGAGGAGCACGAAGGUUGGCUAAUCCCGGUCGGACAUCAGGAGGUUAGUGCAAUGGCAUAAGCCAGCUUGACUGCGAGCGUGACGGCGCGAGCAGGUGCGAAAGCAGGUCAUAGUGAUCCGGUGGUUCUGAAUGGAAGGGCCAUCGCUCAACGGAUAAAAGGUACUCCGGGGAUAACAGGCUGAUACCGCCCAAGAGUUCAUAUCGACGGCGGUGUUUGGCACCUCGAUGUCGGCUCAUCACAUCCUGGGGCUGAAGUAGGUCCCAAGGGUAUGGCUGUUCGCCAUUUAAAGUGGUACGCGAGCUGGGUUUAGAACGUCGUGAGACAGUUCGGUCCCUAUCUGCCGUGGGCGCUGGAGAACUGAGGGGGGCUGCUCCUAGUACGAGAGGACCGGAGUGGACGCAUCACUGGUGUUCGGGUUGUCAUGCCAAUGGCACUGCCCGGUAGCUAAAUGCGGAAGAGAUAAGUGCUGAAAGCAUCUAAGCACGAAACUUGCCCCGAGAUGAGUUCUCCCUGACCCUUUAAGGGUCCUGAAGGAACGUUGAAGACGACGACGUUGAUAGGCCGGGUGUGUAAGCGCAGCGAUGCGUUGAGCUAACCGGUACUAAUGAACCGUGAGGCUUAACCUU
rnacentral:rRNA from 1 species